AGAGUUUGAUCAUGGCUCAGAUUGAACGCUGGCGGCAGGCCUAACACAUGCAAGUCGAACGGUAGCACAGAGAGCUUGCUCUCGGGUGACGAGUGGCGGACGGGUGAGUAAUGUCUGGGAAACUGCCUGAUGGAGGGGGAUAACUACUGGAAACGGUAGCUAAUACCGCAUAACGUCGCAAGACCAAAGAGGGGGACCUUCGGGCCUCUUGCCAUCAGAUGUGCCAGAUGGGAUUAGCUAGUAGGUGGGGUAACGGCUCACCUAGGCGACGAUCCCUAGCUGGUCUGAGAGGAUGACCAGCCACACUGGAACUGAGACACGGUCCAGACUCCUACGGGAGGCAGCAGUGGGGAAUAUUGCACAAUGGGCGCAAGCCUGAUGCAGCCAUGCCGCGUGUAUGAAGAAGGCCUUCGGGUUGUAAAGUACUUUCAGCGGGGAGGAAGGUGUUGUGGUUAAUAACCGCAGCAAUUGACGUUACCCGCAGAAGAAGCACCGGCUAACUCCGUGCCAGCAGCCGCGGUAAUACGGAGGGUGCAAGCGUUAAUCGGAAUUACUGGGCGUAAAGCGCACGCAGGCGGUCUGUCAAGUCGGAUGUGAAAUCCCCGGGCUCAACCUGGGAACUGCAUUCGAAACUGGCAGGCUAGAGUCUUGUAGAGGGGGGUAGAAUUCCAGGUGUAGCGGUGAAAUGCGUAGAGAUCUGGAGGAAUACCGGUGGCGAAGGCGGCCCCCUGGACAAAGACUGACGCUCAGGUGCGAAAGCGUGGGGAGCAAACAGGAUUAGAUACCCUGGUAGUCCACGCCGUAAACGAUGUCGAUUUGGAGGUUGUGCCCUUGAGGCGUGGCUUCCGGAGCUAACGCGUUAAAUCGACCGCCUGGGGAGUACGGCCGCAAGGUUAAAACUCAAAUGAAUUGACGGGGGCCCGCACAAGCGGUGGAGCAUGUGGUUUAAUUCGAUGCAACGCGAAGAACCUUACCUGGUCUUGACAUCCACAGAACUUUCCAGAGAUGGAUUGGUGCCUUCGGGAACUGUGAGACAGGUGCUGCAUGGCUGUCGUCAGCUCGUGUUGUGAAAUGUUGGGUUAAGUCCCGCAACGAGCGCAACCCUUAUCCUUUGUUGCCAGCGGUCCGGCCGGGAACUCAAAGGAGACUGCCAGUGAUAAACUGGAGGAAGGUGGGGAUGACGUCAAGUCAUCAUGGCCCUUACGACCAGGGCUACACACGUGCUACAAUGGCGCAUACAAAGAGAAGCGACCUCGCGAGAGCAAGCGGACCUCAUAAAGUGCGUCGUAGUCCGGAUUGGAGUCUGCAACUCGACUCCAUGAAGUCGGAAUCGCUAGUAAUCGUAGAUCAGAAUGCUACGGUGAAUACGUUCCCGGGCCUUGUACACACCGCCCGUCACACCAUGGGAGUGGGUUGCAAAAGAAGUAGGUAGCUUAACCUUCGGGAGGGCGCUUACCACUUUGUGAUUCAUGACUGGGGUGAAGUCGUAACAAGGUAACCGUAGGGGAACCUGCGGUUGGAUCACCU
rnacentral:rRNA from 1 species